rnacentral:tRNA from 1 species
GCGCGAGUGGCGGAACUAGGUAGACGCGCUAGACUUAGGAUCUAGUGCCGCAAGGCGUGGGGGUUCGAUUCCCUCCUCGCGCACCA